rnacentral:rRNA from 1 species
CCUACGGGUGGCAGCAGUGGGGAAUAUUGCACAAUGGGGGAAACCCUGAUGCAGCGACGCCGCGUGAGUGAAGAAGUAUUUCGGUACGUAAAGCUCUAUCAGCAGGGAAGAAAAAAAGGCCGGUGGACUUUGGACGGUACCGGACCAAGAAGCCCCGGCGAACGACGUGCCAGCAGCCGCGGUAAUACGUAGGGGGCAAGCGUUAUCCGGAUUUACUGGGUGGAACGGGAGCGUAGACGGCAGCGCAAGUCUGGAGUGAAAUGCCGGGGCCCCACCCCGGAACUGCUUUGGAAACUGUGCAGCUGGAGUGCAGGAGCGGUAAGCGGACUUCCUCGUGUAGCGGU